GGUUAAGCGACUAAGCGUACACGGUGGAUGCCCUGGCAGUCAGAGGCGAUGAAGGACGUGCUAAUCUGCGAUAAGCGUCGGUAAGGUGAUAUGAACCGUUAUAACCGGCGAUUUCCGAAUGGGGAAACCCAGUGUGUUUCGACACACUAUCAUUAACUGAAUCCAUAGGUUAAUGAGGCGAACCGGGGGAACUGAAACAUCUAAGUACCCCGAGGAAAAGAAAUCAACCGAGAUUCCCCCAGUAGCGGCGAGCGAACGGGGAGCAGCCCAGAGCCUGAAUCAGUGUGUGUGUUAGUGGAAGCGUCUGGAAAGGCGCGCGAUACAGGGUGACAGCCCCGUACACAAAAAUGCACAUGCUGUGAGCUCGAUGAGUAGGGCGGGACACGUGGUAUCCUGUCUGAAUAUGGGGGGACCAUCCUCCAAGGCUAAAUACUCCUGACUGACCGAUAGUGAACCAGUACCGUGAGGGAAAGGCGAAAAGAACCCCGGCGAGGGGAGUGAAAAAGAACCUGAAACCGUGUACGUACAAGCAGUGGGAGCACGCUUAGGCGUGUGACUGCGUACCUUUUGUAUAAUGGGUCAGCGACUUAUAUUCUGUAGCAAGGUUAACCGAAUAGGGGAGCCGAAGGGAAACCGAGUCUUAACUGGGCGUUAAGUUGCAGGGUAUAGACCCGAAACCCGGUGAUCUAGCCAUGGGCAGGUUGAAGGUUGGGUAACACUAACUGGAGGACCGAACCGACUAAUGUUGAAAAAUUAGCGGAUGACUUGUGGCUGGGGGUGAAAGGCCAAUCAAACCGGGAGAUAGCUGGUUCUCCCCGAAAGCUAUUUAGGUAGCGCCUCGUGAAUUCAUCUCCGGGGGUAGAGCACUGUUUCGGCAAGGGGGUCAUCCCGACUUACCAACCCGAUGCAAACUGCGAAUACCGGAGAAUGUUAUCACGGGAGACACACGGCGGGUGCUAACGUCCGUCGUGAAGAGGGAAACAACCCAGACCGCCAGCUAAGGUCCCAAAGUCAUGGUUAAGUGGGAAACGAUGUGGGAAGGCCCAGACAGCCAGGAUGUUGGCUUAGAAGCAGCCAUCAUUUAAAGAAAGCGUAAUAGCUCACUGGUCGAGUCGGCCUGCGCGGAAGAUGUAACGGGGCUAAACCAUGCACCGAAGCUGCGGCAGCGACGCUUAUGCGUUGUUGGGUAGGGGAGCGUUCUGUAAGCCUGCGAAGGUGUGCUGUGAGGCAUGCUGGAGGUAUCAGAAGUGCGAAUGCUGACAUAAGUAACGAUAAAGCGGGUGAAAAGCCCGCUCGCCGGAAGACCAAGGGUUCCUGUCCAACGUUAAUCGGGGCAGGGUGAGUCGACCCCUAAGGCGAGGCCGAAAGGCGUAGUCGAUGGGAAACAGGUUAAUAUUCCUGUACUUGGUGUUACUGCGAAGGGGGGACGGAGAAGGCUAUGUUGGCCGGGCGACGGUUGUCCCGGUUUAAGCGUGUAGGCUGGUUUUCCAGGCAAAUCCGGAAAAUCAAGGCUGAGGCGUGAUGACGAGGCACUACGGUGCUGAAGCAACAAAUGCCCUGCUUCCAGGAAAAGCCUCUAAGCAUCAGGUAACAUCAAAUCGUACCCCAAACCGACACAGGUGGUCAGGUAGAGAAUACCAAGGCGCUUGAGAGAACUCGGGUGAAGGAACUAGGCAAAAUGGUGCCGUAACUUCGGGAGAAGGCACGCUGAUAUGUAGGUGAAGUCCCUCGCGGAUGGAGCUGAAAUCAGUCGAAGAUACCAGCUGGCUGCAACUGUUUAUUAAAAACACAGCACUGUGCAAACACGAAAGUGGACGUAUACGGUGUGACGCCUGCCCGGUGCCGGAAGGUUAAUUGAUGGGGUCAGCGCAAGCGAAGCUCUUGAUCGAAGCCCCGGUAAACGGCGGCCGUAACUAUAACGGUCCUAAGGUAGCGAAAUUCCUUGUCGGGUAAGUUCCGACCUGCACGAAUGGCGUAAUGAUGGCCAGGCUGUCUCCACCCGAGACUCAGUGAAAUUGAACUCGCUGUGAAGAUGCAGUGUACCCGCGGCAAGACGGAAAGACCCCGUGAACCUUUACUAUAGCUUGACACUGAACAUUGAGCCUUGAUGUGUAGGAUAGGUGGGAGGCUUUGAAGUGUGGACGCCAGUCUGCAUGGAGCCGACCUUGAAAUACCACCCUUUAAUGUUUGAUGUUCUAACGUUGACCCGUAAUCCGGGUUGCGGACAGUGUCUGGUGGGUAGUUUGACUGGGGCGGUCUCCUCCUAAAGAGUAACGGAGGAGCACGAAGGUUGGCUAAUCCUGGUCGGACAUCAGGAGGUUAGUGCAAUGGCAUAAGCCAGCUUGACUGCGAGCGUGACGGCGCGAGCAGGUGCGAAAGCAGGUCAUAGUGAUCCGGUGGUUCUGAAUGGAAGGGCCAUCGCUCAACGGAUAAAAGGUACUCCGGGGAUAACAGGCUGAUACCGCCCAAGAGUUCAUAUCGACGGCGGUGUUUGGCACCUCGAUGUCGGCUCAUCACAUCCUGGGGCUGAAGUAGGUCCCAAGGGUAUGGCUGUUCGCCAUUUAAAGUGGUACGCGAGCUGGGUUUAGAACGUCGUGAGACAGUUCGGUCCCUAUCUGCCGUGGGCGCUGGAGAAUUGAGGGGGGCUGCUCCUAGUACGAGAGGACCGGAGUGGACGCAUCACUGGUGUUCGGGUUGUCAUGCCAAUGGCACUGCCCGGUAGCUAAAUGCGGAAGAGAUAAGUGCUGAAAGCAUCUAAGCACGAAACUUGCCCCGAGAUGAGUUCUCCCUGACUCCUUGAGGGUCCUGAAGGAACGUUGAAGACGACGACGUUGAUAGGCCGGGUGUGUAAGCGCAGCGAUGCGUUGAGCUAACCGGUACUAAUGAACCGUGAGGCUUAACCUU
rnacentral:rRNA from 1 species